UACCAUGGAGAAGUUUGCUUCCUACUGCCU
rnacentral:piRNA from 1 species